rnacentral:lncRNA from 1 species
GGGCCCCCUCCCUGCGCGCUCCUGGCGGCCCCUGCUGCCAACGCGCCCCACCACUAAGGGACCCUCACCCCAAGGCCCGACCCCUGCAGCCCCUCUUGCGAACACUCCGGGAUCCCUCGAUGCUCUGGGCCUCCCUAGCAGUAACUAACCACCAACUGCCCCCUCCCCAGGAGCCCGGGCCGCACACCCUCUGGAUGGCCUCUCCCCGAGACCCUAACCCCGCCACGCUCCUUCACCGCUGAACGUGGUCAGUCCGAGCGCAGUUACCUACCCAGACCGUUCCCUCCCCUAGCUCGGGCGCUGUCUGGGUGGACUGGGGGUUGGGAUGGUUCGGACGACAGCGGCGGAACAGCAGGAGCCGAGAGGGGCAGAGAGGGGCAGGAACUACAGGGCUCUAGAGGGCACCUGGGCCUCGGACACGCGGCCGCUCAGGGCUGUGCUUGACCCAGUGGAGGUGGCCCGGCCGGUGGCUCCAGAAAGGGGGAGGGGGCACCCCUCCCCGGGCGUGGCCUUCGCAGGCCAACGGGCCCAAUUGCCUGGGGCGAGGCCGUGGAGACCCGGACUGGCGCCGGCGCCAGCUGGAGGGAGACGCCCCCGGGCAAGAGCUUACGAUUCUUCAUCAACUCGUAAAAUGAGAUCGCCGCGGAGCUCGAGCCUAUUUGGCGUCUCCGGAGACUAGCAAGACCCUCUGAAAGACACCGCGUCCCCAGGGAUAAUCCCCCGUGUCCGGCAAAGCUGCCCCGCUCGAGCGCGAACCCUGGGACCCAGCGCGGGAGGCAGACCAGCAGCUGGCCGCUGGGCUGUGAACGCCAGGACCGAGCGGAAGCUUCCCGCCCGGCCGCGAUCGGUGCCGCGGCUCUCAGGGAAGUGGCUACGCGCGUCCCUCGGGAAAGCAGAUUAUCGGAGCCCUUUCAGAGAGCGCACAACAAAUGCGCCCGCCAUCGAAUGCAUCAUUUACCACCGCAGAUCCGAGCGCUGAUGGGCAGGCAGAUAGCCCUCUGCUGGGGGCACGCGGGCUCCCCGUGCCCGUACCACUCGCCUGCCUGCCGGGGCCACUGAGUGUGCGCCCCGGUGUGCCCGGCGUGUUUGGAUGGACACGUGGGUGUGCCAGUGCAUGGGCUAACGCCGAUGCAACUGUGCGGGUGUGUCAAACAAGUGUACCACAAAAAAGUGCAGGUGUGCGAGCCCAUCCAUGCACACGCAUGGCAGGCGUCUGUGCUGUGUCCGGAGGCGGCCGAUGAGGCGGGUGGAGGGUUCACACAGGAGGCGGUGCUGCACUAAGCUUGUGGGCAGGCAUGCGGCCCAGGGUGGCUGGACACGUGGUGGAGGAAUGGGAAUGCAAGCCCGCGUGUCCGAGUGCAGCGGAUGAGCAUCCUGCGAGUGCCUCACUGUGUCUGCCCUGGAGGUGGCUGUUUAGGGGAGCACGCCGGAGGCCACUAGGGUGGAUGUGCUGUGUGCAUGCAAGUGCCCACCCUACGUUGUGUUUCGGGGCACACAAGCUACCUGUGCCUACCGGGAUGAGCAUGCAAGUGUCACCGCUCCCGCCGGGCGUGCUUGGGGUGUGCUUGGGUCUGCGUGAGGCUGUGUGUGUCCUGCCGUAUCUCUGCCCAGGUGUGCCCUGGUGAGCUGAGAGAGGGGCACGGGGAAGGGCAGUCGUCGGGGCCUGUCCGUGUGCCAGCGUGGGUGGACUCCGGGCUGGGGAAGCGACAGGGAAUGGUGUGUGCCGGUGUGACAGACGCCAGAGCGGCGGGGUGGAACGUGCUGUGUCACGGGAGACUUUCUUGACCAAAACGGAAUGUGCGAGUGUGGAAGGAAGAGGGGCCGUCCGCGGAGUUUGGGGACACCCGGGCGUCCGAGCCCCAGAGCCUCUGCAGCUGGGACAAGGAAGCCCGAGCCCGCCGCCUGAGGUCCCCGCGCCGUUAGUGACACGCGCCGCCGACAAAGGCUGUAUUUUUCCAGGCUCGCGCCCCGCCCGCGCGCGCGCGAUGGUCCCCAUGGCGACGCAGAUAGCGCCGCAGCCAUUUUCCCUAUCUCCCCAGAGUCUAUUAUACGGCGGGAUUAGCUCAUCUCCAGGCAGGUCAAACCCAAAGUCACACAACCUGCGACGCGGGCCCCGCCCCCACUCCCCGGCCGCCCCUCCCCUGCCCCGGCCCCGGCCCCGGCCCCAGCCCGGCGACCCCCGGCUGCUGCCCAAGCGCAGGCGCAGAGCGCCACCUGGCGGCGGCGGGGUCUCGGGUGGGGUCCGCGGAGCCGGUGCCCGUGCAGAAGAGGUGGGGUGAGGGUCUCUACCUCCAGAAGGCGGGCUCUCUGGGAGCAGGGGCUUUGCUUUGUCACUGCUGUUCCCCAGGGCCAGACUAACACACAGUAGGUGCUCCAUAAGUGUUUCUUGAAAGGAUGUUUGGAGGGAUGGAUGGAUGGAUGGAUGGAUGGGCAGGAAAUUAUAGACGGGGGCAAACUGCCAAAGGCUACAGUUUAGUUGGCAGCAAAAAAAUCGUUUCUGAGAACGCAUCCCACUGAAUUUAGAAUAAAAGCCAAACUCUUAGAACCUAUGUAGUGGCCCUUACUGACCUCUCAGACCUGAUUUCCUUCUUCCUCACUGCAGCCACAAUGACUCUCUUCUUGUUCCAGAGUGUUCCCACCCCAGGGCCUUUGAGUCUACUGUCCCCUCCACCCCGAAUGCAUUCUGACUCCACUCAAGUGUCACUCUCCAAGAGCCAAGUUGCUCCCCUGUCCCCUGCUCUUCUCUGUCUAUGCAUUCUUUUAUAGUGCUUAACACAGUCUGAAAUAGUCUCGCCCCUGUGUGUGUGUUGUCUGACUCCCCCUCUAGAAUACCAGGAUCCUUGGAGGUGAGGGAGUUCCUGUUUUGCUUGUGGCUACAGCUCAGCCACUGGAAUCAUAUCUGACAAUUGGUUGGCAUCAGUCGCAACUCUGGGAAUGAGGGAAUGAGGACUAGAGGGGGCUGGACGGGCCCAGCCACCUGCCUUCAUCAUUGUCAUUUCUCUUUAUCACUACGGUAACUCCUCCUUCCCCUCAUGACUUUGGAAGUCAUUCAGCAGCCACUCCAGCCCCACCAACCUGCCCCUAUCCCAGAGGGGCCUGGGAUGGAGGGAGAGAACCACUGAGGCCCCUCCACAUCCCUGCACCCGCUGUGCCCAUGGGGGCGGAGAACACAUCUGACCCGGCUCUGAGGGAGCCGUGGCCUCUCUAGGGAGGGCUGGCCUGCUGGUGAGACUUCACUCAUAAUACAAGAUAAUUAUACCAGAGUUGUCAUGAGGCGGUGGUGAUUAAUUGCUGUGCGUGGGGCACGGACGGACAGCGAGGUAUAGAGAGUGGAGAGAAGGCCGCAGCCCAGCUGGGCUUCCAGGUGGGAGCUCAGCCUCCCCAUCUCUGCCGUGGAAGGGACUCAGAGGUGUCAGGCCAAGCAUGCAGGCAGGCUUGUGACAAACUCCUUGGCCAGGAGCUCUGAGAAUUAGCUUCACUUCCCUCAGAAAUGCCCCAAUUCCCUCCUGGAAGAGGAGCUGUGUGACAGCUCAGGCCAGGGGGUCGGGACUCCCCCCAUCUCCUCCGCACACACAUACCCCUGCACACAUACCCAGCCACGUACAGCUGGGUGGCUGUACGCAAGUCAUUUUUCCACUCUGAGCCUCAGGGUCUUCCUCUGUCCACCUCCCCCCAGGAUUACUGGCAGAAUUAGGUGUGAGCUUGCAUUUAAAAAGAGGUUUGUUUUGUAAACCCAGGCUUUGCAAAUUGGCAGCCCAAGUCUCGGGGGCCUGUGCAGUGACUGAUCAUUACCAACAUUUCGAAGUGAGAGAUGUCACAUAAAGAGCGUCAUUUCGAGCUUCUCUUGAAAAGUUGUAAGGUGAGCUACCCUGGGACUGUAUUCCUGAAUGGCAAUGUGAUGGCAGAGUCCUGCAGUAUUACCACCUGUGGACUUGUGCACCAGGGUUCCCACCCACCCACUUCAGGCCCUUGGUUCAGGGAUGUGCCCGUCAUGGAAAUACCAGGUGCUGUGGCUCUGCUGGUUUUGGCUUUCCUUCUCUGUAACCUUCCAAUAUCUUUCUCCUUCCAGGUACUGUAAACCACUUAGUAAUUAAUUAGUUAAUAAAUUCAUCUCAUCAGCACUUUUAAAUAAUGUGCUAGGCCACACUGUCAUGGACCCCAGAUAUACAGCAGCAAACAAAGCAGCCAUGGUACCUUCCCUCAGGGAGCAGUCAGUCCAGUGGAGGAGUCAGAUAUGACUCACCACACAGAUCGAAAAAUCUCCACAAAUUAUGAGAAGAAUGCUGAGGGAAGAAAGAACAUAGGUGGACCGCUGCUGAGUCCAGGCUUACUUGCAGAGAUCUAUGCUGGCCAGGCCCUGUGCUAGGCAGCAGAGGACAUGGAAUAAAAUCAAAUAAGGUCACUGUGUGCAGGCACCUCACGGUGUGGUAAAGGAGCAGCCCCAUCCACAGGUUCUAUUAAUUCCAGCCUGUGAGAAUUGGAACCACAGGGUGAAUUUUGGAGGACAGGCACUUACACUAAUCUGGAAGCAUAAUAUAUAAAGAGUACCUACAAAUCAAUAAAAAAAAAUAGAAAAAAAAAGAGCAAAGUAUAUGAACAGAAAAUUCAAUGAAAAGGAAAUAGAAAUGGCUCUUAAAUGAAUGAAAACAUACUCUCACUCAGAGAAAUGAAAAUUUAACCCAUGUCAAGAUACUUGGGGUGAAGGAAGUGUUUUAAAAUUCGAUUGUGGUGAUGGUUAUAACCCUAUAAAUUUACUAAAACUUAUUGAAGUGUACCUUUAAAACAAAUGAACUUUAUAGUAUGUCAGUUAUAUCACAAUAAGGCUAUUUUAAAAAUAAAAACACUUUGAGAGUAAUUUGCCUGUUUCUGGCAAAUCUGAAGAUUGGAAUGCCACACGGCCCAGCCAUUCCUUUUCCAGGCAUAUGAGAAGCCCUCACACAUGAGCAAGAAAGAGAUGUGGCCAAAGACAUUCAUGGAGCCCUGUUUGUUAAAACAGAGAAAAAGAAAUUAAGAAAUACCCAGCCUGGGCAACAUAGGGAGACCCUGUCUCUACUAAAAAUAAAAAUUUAUACUUGGGAGGCUAAGGCAGGAGGAUCACUUGAGCUCAGAAGAUCGAAGCUUGCAAUCAGCUGUGAUCGUGUCACUGCAUGCCAGCCUGGGUGACAGAGAGUGAGACCCUGUAUCAAUAAAGAAAGAAAGAAAGAAAAGAAACAGAAAUAAACUUAGGACACAGCAGACGGCCCAUCCUGAGGGUACCACAUAGCAGAUGCUGGGACCUUUUUUCAGGUGGACGCCACAUGACCUUUCCUUUGCAGGCAUCCAUGCUGAUGUUCACAAGGCACACAGCAUUUCAGCUGAAGAAAGAACUGGCAGGAUUUUCAUCACGAAAGGGCACUGUCUAUCGUUUAUGAAAAUGAAGCAUAUGAAGUAAAAGUUUGGAAACAGAUGGAAUUAAAUCUUCUGACAGAUUUUAAAAUAAGAUCUAAAAAAGAGCAAGACAUGCUCUUGGAUGGGGAAACUUAAUAUCAGAAAAAUGUCAAUUUUCCCAUUUUUUCCAUAUAAAUUUAAUGUAAUUCAAAUUCCAUUACCAACAGGGUGAUUUUUUAAAAAACUAGAUAAAAUGAUCUGAAAGAUUAUGCAGCAGAAUAAAUGCCCAAGAAUUACCAGGGAAGACUGGAAAAAAGACUGCUGUGGGGGUUUUGCCUUCCUGGAAAUAAGACCAUACUGCAAAGUCACUGUAAUCAGAUCAAUAUGGCAUUGGCAGAGGACUAGACAAUGGAAAGGAAUGGAGAAUACAAAAAUAAGUUUCAGGAUAUAUGAGAAUGAGAUAUAUGCCAAAGGUAGUAUUUUGAUUCGGUGGGAGAAGGGCAGACUGUGAAGUAAGUGGUACCAGCCACAACUGAAUAUCCAUCUGGGAUAAAAUAAAAUUGCACUCGUCUUAGAGAUCCAAAUCAACUUCAGAUGGAUUAAAACUUUGAAUGUAAAAAACAUAAAUGACUAACAGUCCUGCAAAAUAUCUUGGAGACAACCUGUGCCAUCUGGAGAGUGGGAAGAGCACAUGCAAAGGCCAAGGGGUGGAGCAGCCCAGCAUGUUCUGGAAAAGGUAGGGCUCCCCAAGGCUGGGAUGAUGGUGGAGACCUGGGUGUGUGGGAGCACAGGGGUGGGGGCCCGUGGGCCAGGAAUGCACAGAGAGGGGCUGGUGCUCUGCCGCAGGCCCAAGCCCCCAAAGCCCGGUCAUUCCCAGCACCAUCUUCACGGGUUUCUGCCCAGGUCUUUCUGCUGCAUCUCUUCCUCCCCCGAUUCCUUAAUCAUUUUUUUUAAAAUCAGUUCAUGUCUUUGUAAACCAAAUUAUUUCUAAAAGGCAAAUUUAUAUUACUGCCGAAAUCAAGGGUCAGUGAGCUAGUUGUGUAUGUUCUGAAUCACAUGGAAAUAAAUGCAUCGAACAUUAAGAAGGAAAGAGUGUCUAGCGUUAGCUACCUUGGUGUGCUGGGCUCAAUGUGCAUUUUGGAAGUUGCCCUGCCACCUUGUGGGCAGGAGGGACUGGAUGAGUAGGGAGUCGGAGUGAGCAUGAAGGUGACCAGAAAGUCCAUUCCUUAGAAAGAACCUGACCACUUCCCGCCUCAACAAGCAGCCGGCCUGGUCCUAGCUCUCGCCUGGACUACUGGAAUAGCCUCCUUGCUGGAAGUCCUCAACUUCCCCACUUUCUGUUCAUAGUACAGUGGCCGGCGGGGGCCCGUGAGGAUAGAAGUCAGGCCAGGUGCAGUGGCUCACGCGUGUAGUCCCAGCACUUCAAGAGGCCAAGGUGGGUGGAUUGCUUGAGCCCAGGAGUUCAAGACCAGCCUAGGCAACACAGUUAAACCCCAUCUCUACAGAAGAUACAAAAGUUAGCUAGGCGCAGUGGCGCACGCCUGUAGUCCCAGCUACUUUGAAGACUGAGGCGGGAGGAUCACCUGAACCCAGAAGGUCAUGGCUUCAGUGAGGCUGAUUGUGUCACUGCACUCCAUCCUGGGCAACAGAGUGAGACCCUGUCUCAAACAAAAACAAAAAAAGAUGUAAGUCAAACCUGUCCCAUCUGCGCCACACCCUCCCGCAGCACCCGGGUCCCUCUUGGCCUCUUUGGUCUCAUUCCCUUUGCUUGCUCCACUCCAGCCCCACUGGCUUCCUUCUUGUUUCUCAAACAGCUGGCACACAUCCACCCCAGAACAUUGGCACUAGCUGUCCCUGUACCCAGAUACCACAUGGCUUCCUCAUACUUUGGGCCUGGUCACCUUCUUGGACCACCUCCUGAUGAACUGUGGGUGACAGCUGGAGCACAGGUGGGUUCUGGAAGCCCUGCAGCCUGGGGUCAGGAUGAAGAUUACCCAGGGCCAGCAGGCAAGCCUGAGAGGCCGGUCUCCAGGCUUUGCAGCUCCCGGCAAGAGGUCCCAGAGGUCUUGCCCUUCCAGAGAUGAAUGCUUGAGGCCCAGAACAUGGGGCCAUCCGGAGCCAAGGCCUGGGAUGUUAGAGGAGGGGAACUCGGGACUCCAUGCAAGGACCACGGGUCAGCCCUGUGCCUGUCCAGACCACCUGCAUGGGACACAGCAGGGGCCCAGAACUGGGCAUCCAGUGGAUCACUGCAGCAGCAUCUGUGUGUCCAUAUCCAGGUAGCCGCACCCAGAUUUUCCCUCCAGGGACCACCCCCUCCCACUCUCAGUUCAAGGUGGUCCAUGUGGAGCACCCACCUCUGGCCCAGCCAGUCAGAGCCAUCCUGGCUGAUUGAUUCUGGGCACAUGACUCUGGAGGAUCCAUGGAGAGUCCAACCUGGAAACUUGGCAAGAAUCCUCGGGGACUGCCCUCCUGCUGGGGUCAUGUGGCACUGGGAGCUGCGGUGGCCAUCUUUACUGCCACCCAGGAGAGCCUGCCGGAGAGUGAGACCAACACAGAGCAGCAGAGACAGAGACAGACUGGCUCCCGAGCGUUCAGCCCCAGUGCCGGAAGCCAGCUAGAGCCCUGGCCUUUUCAGUGACAUGAGCCAAUGACAACUCCCAGUUCUCUCCCUCCGGUCAAUCUGAAGCCGGGUUUUUGCCUCUUACAACUGAAAGAGUCCUGGUGGUCACAGGCAUGGCUGAUUAAAGAUGCCCACCAGGUCUUUGUUACACCCUCAUAUACUUGGGGCCUUGAAUGUGGGUGUGCUCUGAGAUGACUUGACCAGGAGAAUACGGUAGCAGUGACACUGCAGUUUCCAGCCCAGGCCUGAAGAGAUGAUUAGCGCCCACUCCUUGCUUCUUGAAAGUCUCUCCUUGGGAGUCCUGGGCUGCUAUGUUAAAAAUCCAACUGCCCUGAGGCCACCAUGAUGUGAGGAGGCUGGAGCCAGGUGGAGAGGCCAUGGUGGCGAAAGAGCUGCCGGACCAGUUCCCAUUGCCCCAGCCCCCAGCCAUCUGAGUCAUCCCCACUGAGGACACAGAUAUCACAGAGCAGAUACGAGCUAUCCCUGCACCGCCCAUCCAGAUUCUUUACCCAGUUUGUGAGAUAUAAUAAUAAUGAACUGUUUUAGGCCACUGAGUUUUGGGGUCAUUUUUAAAGCAGCAAUAGACAGAUGGAACAAUAGUAAUGAGCAAAGGGCCACAUAUACCUAUUGGAUUGGGAAGCAAGACAGAGAUGGGGCUGCCACUGUGCGCAGGAUCGACUCACCUCCUUGGGAAUUCUUAUACACGCCCGUAUGAGUGCAGGAUGCAUGAGUAGGAUAGUGGAGCCGAAAGGGUCUUGAUAGCAGAUGGCCUUGAAUUUGAGUCCCUACUCUGCUGUAAGAUCAGCUCUGAGUCCCAGGGCUAUGUUAUUUCCCCUCCUCGAGCCUCAGUUUCUUCACCUAUCAUAUAAAAAUAUUAGUACUGUGUUGCUAGGAUGAGAUUCAGCUGCACAUAACAAGGAGAUACAAAUUUUUUUUUCUGUCAUGUGAAAAUUCACAGGUAGGCAAUCCAGGGCUACUAUAUCACUCCCUGGUGUCAGAAAGCAAGGUUGGCUUUCGUCGCCUCACAUUCCAAGAUGGCUGUUACAGCCUCACCAUUGUAUCUACAUUCCAGGGAGCAGCAAGGAGGAAGUGAAUAAAGAACAAAAUGUUCACAUCAGCUGUCUCUUAAGGAAGUCCCCUGAAAGCUGACACAUCCACUUGUAUCCCAUUGGCUAAAGCACAGUCACAUGACCAUAUCUAGCUGCAAAGGAGGCUAGGGAAUGUAGUCUUGCUCUGGGAAAUCAUGUGCUCAGCUAAAAUUCUAUGGAGGAAUAAUAGCUUUUGGAAGAUACCUGACAGUCUCUGCCAAAAGUAUCUAUGUCAAGAGUUUAUGUAAUGACUGACGUGAUUUUGAAGAGGUUUUGUUUUGAACCUCUGCUGCAUGCCAGUUUCCACAAAACUAACUGCAAAAGACAUAAUCAGGUCUUUUGUAGGACAUGGCACAGGGGCUGACACAUAGUAGGUGCCCAGUAAAUGAGGCGUCCUUGUUUGCUCUUCUAGCUGCACACCUUGCUGCUCUCCUCAAUGGUGUUUCUCUGCCCCAACCCUCCAAGGAUGAGCUCCCUCCCCAAGAGGAUACCCUGUUUCAUUUUCUUCACAUCAUUUACCAUAACUAUUUGUUUCUUAAUUUGUUCAUCAUCCAUCUCUCUCCACUCUAAUAUACACAACACGAAGAGAGGGAGAGUAUCUCUAGGGUCCCACCAAGGAAAUAGAAGUCACUUGAAAAGUGUAAAGCUUAAUUUAAAAGUUAAAAUUCAGAGAUGUGAUUGUGCAGGUGAUGGAAUUGCUAAGAACAGGGGACAAUGAGGCAGCACAGAAAUUAGGAGCAAGAAGCUGUUACCUCCCCAGGGUUGGAGGGGCAAUGGGAGGAGAUGGCAUUACCAGAGCCCAAGGCCUGGGUGACACAGGGAGACUCAGCAGGCCUGUCCAGUGGGAGCUGUAGCUGUAGGAAAGACAGAGCCACACCAGAGAUGCCACCUGAGAUGAAGAGGAAGGGGGAGAAUACCCUGGCUCCUCCCUUGUUCACUCCAGGGCCUCUCAUUGGCUGAAUCCAGCAGGAAUCCAGCUGGCCUCACACCUUGGGGCUAAGCUCCCCUCCCUGAUGGGUGACACAGAGCCAAGGGAUGGGAUAACAAGAGCUAAGGGCAAACUAGCCCGGGGCUGGCACUGGUGACUUCAUCUGUCUUGUUAUCUUCUGCAUCUGGAGCUUCAAAGGCACAGCCUGGCACACGGUAGGACCUCAAUAAACAGUGGAUGAAUAGAUUGGGGUUCUCAACUCACCUUAGCACCUAUAGAAGCUGUUUAGAGUCCACAAAACAACUCUUGUACCUGUGAGGGCUCCUAGGUGCUAGGCCCACAAAGGGAGGCAUGUUAUGGCCGUGGCAUUCUGCUUGGCCAGGAUCCGAGAGGAGCCUCCCAAUUGGAGGAUUUAGCCCAAGUUGCUUCAUUCCCUGUCCAGUGGAGCCUGGCCUCUCUCUCAGCCUCCAUCAACACCCAGAAUCCUCCAUGAUGAGCUCCUAUCCCACCAGGGCAGAGAGUGGGCAUGUCCUCAUCAGGGAGAGAAAGGACAGAGACAGACAGACAGGAAGAGAGAAACAGCCAUGCAGCCAGGGCUGGGGCUCUGCUUGCCAUUGCCCUCUAUGCACUCUAACUGUGGCAAAACCUGUGCAAAGUACAUGGAUGCUACCAACCACUGGCAAAGGAAUAGGAAGCAUAUUCCUGUGGCCCGGCAAAUGCGUGGGGAUGGCUUCAUCCACAUCCUGCAGGAAGAAAUUAAAUUAAUUGACAGGUCCAAAUGUGAGUGGACAGGUGGGGCAGCAGGAGCUCUGCACGCCACUGGUGGGAGUGUUUUUUGGAAAGUGCACUUUGUAAGAGAAUUUGGCAACACUAACAAGGACGUGUGUACAGGUGAGCUCAGCAGUUCCCUGCACAGGUAAAAUCUCAGCAGCAUCCACUGAUAUAAACACAACCACAGUAACAACGCCUGGGAGCCACCCAGGUCCAUUCACAGGAGAAAGGAUAAAUGAACCAUGUCAUGCCCACACAAUGGAAUACUCGACAGCAAUGAAGACGAACAACAGUGUCACGCAUCAACGCAGAUGUACCUCCCAACAAUACUGUGAGAGAAAAAGGCAAGUCACCAAAGAACACGUAUGUAUGAGGCCAUUCAAAUAGCUCUUCUGGAUUUCACUCCUGGGGAUGUCAAGGACCCACUAGAGUUUCCAAGCCAUGUUCACAUGUCACCUCCUUGACUAAAGGGACAUGACCAAUAAAUGCAAUGUGGGGUCCUGAACUGGAUCCUAGAGCAGGACAGAAAUAGCUAUAAAGGACAUUCUUGGGACAAUUGACGUUUAGAUAUGGAUUGUGGGGUUCGAUCAUAGUAUCAUAUCAAUGCAAAUUGUCCUAGCUCUGAUAAGCAUAUGUGUUUAUGUAAGAGAAUGUCCUUGUUUUUAGGGAACAAACACUGAAAUAUACAAUAGUAGAGAGGCAUCAUGUCUCCACCAUACUCUCAGAUGGUUCAGGAGAAAUAUGCGUGUGUCUCCGUACAUAUUAAUAUAGAGAGAAUGGUACAGCCAGUGGGACAAGUUGUAAGCAAUUGGUGAAUCUAGGUAAAGGGUAUAUGGGAAAUUGCAUCAAAAUUAAAAGUUAUGAACAUGGGGGAGAAAACCCAGUUCUUCUAUAAAAACAGCCUCCAGCCUCUCCCUCCAGCACAACCUGUCCCCACACGUGGGGCACCCGGCACCCAUGCUCUGGCUCUUGUCUCUCUGGGUCUUAGUCCCACUUAGCACCCCACACCCAAAGGUCAUGUUUUCACAGAUGUGUACCCUCAAGACUAAACACACACUUGAGGCAUUCAUGUGACUAUACAUAUUUAUGGAAAAAGAAAAUUCUUGGGCUCACAAAACUGAACGCUCCAGGGUGGACUGUCUCAGGUGGCCUUAAUCGGGGUGCUGACAACAUCCAGACGAGCACGCAGGCUUCUCUCCCUGCCACGGCGGUGCCAUUCUCCAACGGACUCUGCCGCCGUGGCUGCAAGAUGGUGGCAGCAGCUCCAACCCCUGCACCCUUUUGUGGCCAAGUCCAGUGGGAAGAAUGUGAGGUCUUCUUCCAGAAGCUUCUGCAGAUUCUCAUUAGCUUCAGCUGGGUCAUGUGUCUGUCAUCCCUGACCUGGCCUCUGGGGUCAGGAAGGCACCAUGGUCAGACUGGCCAGGCCUGAGCCCCAAGCCCCAAGUCCAACCUCUUCACAAAGCACAGCUGGCUGGGGCAGAGCGGUGCCCCCAGUGGAAAAUCAAGAUGCAGUUUCAGAAGGAUGGAAAUGGAUGCUGGGUGGCGAAACGGCAGAAACCCACCCCGGCCCACGCCCUUGCCUGUCCAAAAUCCAUGCACAUGCUUCUUCCCAUGCUCCCUCUGGGGGAGGUGUGCUAGGCAGCACAGAUGUAUGCACAGCUCCCCACAGAUGCCACCCUCAUCCUUGGAAACUGUCAAUGCCCAUGAAUUUGUUACCUCACGUAGCAAAAGAGACUUUGCAGAUGUAAUUAAGGCUGCUCGUCAGUUGACCUUAAAAUAGGGAGAGUGUCUUGGAUCAUCCACAUGGGCUCAGUGGGUCACACAAGCCCUUAAAAGCAGAGAACUUUCCAUGGCUGGUGGCAGAGGUAGAAAGGACAUUGGAAAGAGACAGCAUGGGGGAAAGGGAGAUUUAAAGCUUGGGAAGGAAGGAUGGAAAGCGCGACUGCUGCUUUGAAAACAAAGGAAGCCUCAGGCCACGUAGCAAAGAAAUGGAGACCCCAGGCCUGCAAUCAUAAGCGACUGAAUUCUGCUCACAACCCUAAUGAGCACCUCCGGGAAAGAGCCCAGCCUGCCAACACCUCGAUUUUGCCUUGUAAGCCCCUAAGCAGAAAAUACAGUUGAGGCACUCUCUGCCCAGACUUGCAGUGCACAGAAACUGUGAUGCUAAAUGGAUGUUGCUUGAAGCUGCUCAGUUGGUGGCACUUUGUUACAGCAGCAAUGGAAAAUGAAUACUGGAGGUAACACUGUCUCUCCCAGUGACAGGUCCGGCUCCAGGAGCUGGACCCCAGUGACCGUGUUACAGUCUAGGCUUAAGGCCCCCCUCACUCCCAACCUCACCUGUGCAGAGAGGGAAGGAAAAGUGCCAUGUCAACCCCCAGUAAGGGAAAGGAGGAUGGGAGACCCCUAGCCUGCAGCACAUCCAAAGCCCUGCUAGAAAAAUACUGAGAAAUGUUAGACAUUGAGCUACCACAGGACCCAGGAUUACAACUCCUGGGUAUCUACCCAAGGCAAAUGAAAACAUGUGUCCCCAGAAAAAUUUGCACACAAUGUUCAUAGCAGCAUUAUUUAUAAUAAUUGAGAAAUGGGAAUAGCCCAAAUGCCCAUCAGCUAAUGAAUAGAUAAACAAAAUAUGGCAUAGCUAUACAAUGGAAUAUUAUAUGGCCCUAAAAAGUAAUGAAGAAGCCAGACAUAAAAGGCUUUGUGUGAUUCCAUUUCCAGACAGAAAGCAGAUUAGUAGUUGCUGCAGGCUGGCGGGAGGGAGGAAUGGAAAGUGGCUGCUAACAGGAACACGGUUUAUUCUGGGGGCAAUGAAAGUGUUCUAAACUUAGAUGUGAUGAUGGAUGUACAACUGCGUGAAUAUACUAAAAAGCAUUGAAUGGCAUUGAAUGGUUCAUCUUAAAUGGGUGAAUUUUAUAGUGCGUGAAUUAUAUAGAUAAAGAUGUAAAAGAUUUGUUUAACAUCAAUAAAGAUGUAAAAAAAAAAAUGUUGAGUUUCUUGGGCAGCCAGUUCAACUGCCCAGCCCUGCCCUCUAGGAGGAAAACGAGUACUCCCUGCCCACCCUUCACCAUUCCCACAUCUGAAGUGGGCAUUGGGGAUCUCAGUUCUCUA